rnacentral:rRNA from 1 species
GUCUACGUCCAUACCACACUCUGAAUGUGUCUGAUCACAUCUGAUCUCGGAAGCCAAGCAAGGCUGGGCCUUAAUACUUGGAUGGGAGACAGUAUACC